GACGAACGCUGGCGGCGUGCUUAACACAUGCAAGUCGAGCGGUAAGGCCCUUUCGGGGGUACACGAGCGGCGAACGGGUGAGUAACACGUGGGUGACCUGCCCUCAGCUCUGGGAUAAGCCUGGGAAACCGGGUCUAAUACCGGAUAUGACUCCAUGACGCAUGUUGUGGGGUGGAAAGCCUUGUGCGGCUGAGGAUGGGCCCGCGGCCUAUCAGCUUGUUGGUGGGGUGAUGGCCUACCAAGGCGACGACGGGUAGCCGGCCUGAGAGGGCGACCGGCCACACUGGGACUGAGACACGGCCCAGACUCCUACGGGAGGCAGCAGUGGGGAU
rnacentral:rRNA from 1 species